UGGCUUUUGGUAGACUUACCCAGCCCGGAAUAUUGUAGCCAUGGAGAAGUUAUUCACGAAGAUCUGCCGCUGCUGCGUCACCAAAGUGCAUAAAAGGGAAAGUGCUAGAAAAGAAAGCCACCAACCAGAACCACUAUUUUGUGCAUAUGUAUGUACAUAUGUGGGGGUUUAUGUUUAUCUAUAUAUAUAAAAGAAAGUCGUAUUUUGUAAAGCACUUAUAACUCGAGAACGGCUGGACCGAUUGCCAUGGUUUUUGAUUUGUUGGAUUUGUUUCCGUCGCGAGUAGCAGAAUACAUCAGAAAACAACUUAUGGCCUGUUUGUUGCGGCCUUAAAGCCAAAACUUUAUUUUUUUCUGAAGACAUCAUGUGGGUGUUCAGAAAUUUGUAUAAAAAGUUCAUUUGUUCAUUUGUAAAU
rnacentral:lncRNA from 1 species